rnacentral:lncRNA from 1 species
UUUUCUUCUAUCAAUUCCCUAAGCUGUUUUUCCAGCUGAAAAGAGAAUGGAGAGGUACAUGGUGCAUGAAAUUGUGCAGUCCUGCAAUUAACACUGUCACAAGGGUUGGAAAAUUUCAGGUGAGGAAAAGUACCUUUUUAAUCUGUGCAUCCUUCUCUCUUAAAGCUUCAGCAUGACUUGUGCAAGAGGCUGACUCCGGCAAUUUCAGUUCAUUUUCUAAUCUUGCAAGCUCUCUUUGUAGAUGCUUCAGUAGUGCUUUGUCAGACAUCACUACAUUGACCUGUGCAUUUGUAACUACCUCCUUUGCGCAAGUCGCAAACAGAAGUGUGUUCCUGGAUUGCUCAAUAUGAGUGUG